CAAAGAAUAAAGGUUUGUUUAUGAAGAAGGACAAGAUGGUGGACCAGAGGAGCCUGGACUUCAACCCCUCUUCUAAGAACUGAAGUAACAGGAUAGAACUGCAUUUCGAGUCUGUCUCCAAAUCUUUUCCUGGGCUUGCAGUAAAUCCAGAGGCCUUAUACACAGUUAUCAGUCUGUGGUCAGGCAUUGCAUCAUUCCACCUGGCCUUUGGCAGAGUCACAAUGAGGGGGCCAGCUCCAGGCUCCUAUGACACAUCUGUGGCCAUCAAUGUAAAUUAAUGAUGUUCAGUGAUGACAGUGGAGGAGUGGAUUUCUUCAUCAGAGAGAAAAUUUCAUUAAAAUUGAUAUCAGA
rnacentral:lncRNA from 1 species